rnacentral:rRNA from 1 species
GAUGAACGCUGGCGGCGUGCCUAAUACAUGCAAGUCGAGCGAACGGACGAGAAGCUUGCUUCUCUGAUGUUAGCGGCGGACGGGUGAGUAACACGUGGAUAACCUACCUAUAAGACUGGGAUAACUUCGGGAAACCGGAGCUAAUACCGGAUAAUAUAUUGAACCGCAUGGUUCAAAAGUGAAAGACGGUCUUGCUGUCACUUAUAGAUGGAUCCGCGCUGCAUUAGCUAGUUGGUAAGGUAACGGCUUACCAAGGCAACGAUGCAUAGCCGACCUGAGAGUGUGAUCGUCCACACUGGAACUGAGACACGCUCCAGACUCCUACGGGAGGCCGCAGUAGGCAAUCUUCCGCAAUGGGCGAAAGCCUGACGGAGCAGCGCCGCGUGAGUGAUGAAGGUCUUCGGUUCGUAAAACUCUGUUAUUAGGGAAGAACAUAUUUGUAAGUAACUGUGCACAUCUUGACGGUACCUAAUCAGAAAGCCACGGCUAACUACGUG